AGAGUUUGAUCAUGGCUCAGGACGAACGCUGGCGGCGUGCUUAACACAUGCAAGUGGAGCGACGAACCAGGGCUUGCCCUGGGGCAGAGCCGCGAACGGGUGAGUAACACGUGGGCAACGUGCCCCAAUGAUCGGGACAACCCGGGGAAACCCGGGCUAAUACCGAAUGUGCUCCCCUCACACCAGUGAGGGAUGGAAAGGAAGCUUCGGCCUCCGCAUUGGGAUCGGCCCGCGGCCCAUUAGCUUGUUGGUGAGGUAACGGCUCACCAAGGCUGCGAUGGGUAGCUGGUCUGAGAGGACGAUCAGCCACACUGGGACUGAGACACGGCCCAGACUCCUACGGGAGGCAGCAGUGGGGAAUCUUGCGCAGUGCGCGAAAGCGUGACGCAGCAACGCCGCGUGGGGGAAGAAGGCCUUCGGGUUGUAAACCCCUUUCAGGAGGGACGAAGGUUGGGCGGUUAAUAGCCGACCUGACUGACGGUACCUCCAGAAGAAGCCCCGGCUAACUACGUGCCAGCAGCCGCGGUAAUAC
rnacentral:rRNA from 1 species